UAGCUGGUACAUAUAUAGGGCAAUAUUAAUUCUAAUUUCAUUAGGAAUAUGAUUAUUCCAAUUCUAUAUUAUAAUCUAGAUACAUUUGAUAAAAAAAAAAAAAGAUAUUAUUUAUUUAUAUAAUAAAUCUGAUGGCUAAAAACAUUUAGGGAAAUUACCAAACUUUUCCAACCUUUAUUUUUCGUUUGAAAAAAAAAAACCUUUAUUUUCAUAAAUAUAUCUUUAUUUUAAUUUUUCUUGUUGAAUUAGUAUUCUCCUUCCUCUGGAACUUGGGUGCCUUCUGCGACUUGGGCUAGAGCAAAAGAAUGUUAACCUUUUGGCCUCACUCGAUCGACCUCAACAUCAUGGCCGCCGUGGCCUGUGAACUCCCGUUUGGUUUGAAGAGGCAACAUAGCGUUGAGUACUGGAUCUGAAAUGGCUGACGCAUUUUUUGUGCCCUUCUUUUCAUCUUUGAGUUUUAAUACUCAUGGCUCCAAACUGAUCGGGUUGAUCGUCAAUUGCAGCUCAUGGUUUACCACCUCCCCUAGCCUUAAUUAGUCGUUCGUAAUCUUAUGGAGCAGGCCAGGUUUGCUUAUUUAUGCACCAUAAUGUCUUGAAUGAACCAUCGGCAUGAAAGACUGGUUCGCUCGUAGAUUUUGCACCUGAUCCUGCACCUCUCAUGCAAAGUCACGGCAAGAUUUAUAAUACGAGAGUGAUUCGGGCUCUUGAAACUGAAGCAUGUAAUAGCCAAAGAUAGAAUACUAGUCAAUACUUUAAUAUUUUACCCACCAUACUUACAAUUUUAUUUUCAUUCAACAGUUAAUACUUUAAUAUUUUACCCACCAUACUAAUACAAUUUUAUUUUCAUUCAA